AUAACACCCCUAACCUUCCCCUCAAGUUCUCCACAUGGGUUUCCAAUAAGAUUAUCAUCCGGGGCACGAAAUCAAGUAGCGAUAACAUUAAAACGAUCCCUACGACAUUGAAUUGAGUUGUUUGAAGAGUUGCUUGGGAGGUAUUAAGGACUCAACGUGGUUAAGGUCCCGAUUGUUAGGUUGAUAGUCUUCCUAGUAGGCUAUUAGCUCAGCGGAGGUGUUGGUGCACUCCACUUGCUCCGGAGUUGCCUAUUUGGUCAGUAU